rnacentral:rRNA from 1 species
AUUGAACGCUGGCGGCAGGCCUAACACAUGCAAGUCGAGCGGUAACACAGGGAGCUUGCUCCCGGGUGACGAGCGGCGGACGGGUGAGUAAUGUCUGGGAAACUGCCUGAUGGAGGGGGAUAACUACUGGAAACGGUAGCUAAUACCGCAUAACGUCGCAAGACCAAAGAGGGGGACCUUCGGGCCUCUUGCCAUCAGAUGUGCCCAGAUGGGAUUAGCUAGUAGGUGGGGUAAUGGCUCACCUAGGCGACGAUCCCUAGCUGGUCUGAGAGGAUGACCAGCCACACUGGAACUGAGACACGGUCCAGACUCCUACGGGAGGCAGCAGUGGGGAAUAUUGCACAAUGGGCGCAAGCCUGAUGCAGCCAUGCCGCGUGUAUGAAGAAGGCCUUCGGGUUGUAAAGUACUUUCAGCGGGGAGGAAGGUGCUGAGGUUAAUAACCUCAGCAAUUGACGUUACCCGCAGAAGAAGCACCGGCUAACUCCGUGCCAGCAGCCGCCGCGGUAA